rnacentral:tRNA from 1 species
GGGAAUAUGGCUUAGUGGUAGAGCGCUUGCCUAGCAUGCCUGAAGCCCUGGGUUCAAUUCCUCAGUACCA